rnacentral:rRNA from 1 species
AUUGAACGCUGGCGGCAGGCUUAACACAUGCAAGUCGAGCAGGGGAAGGUAGCUUGCUACCGGACCUAGCGGCGGACGGGUGAGUAAUGCUUAGGAAUCUGCCUAUUAGUGGGGGACAACAUCUCGAAAGGGAUGCUAAUACCGCAUACGUCCUACGGGAGAAAGCAGGGGAUCUUCGAACCUUGCGCUAAUAGAUGAGCCUAAGUAGGAUUAGCUAGUUGGUGGGGUAAAGGCCUACCAAGGCGACGAUCUGUAGCGGGUCUGAGAGGAUGAUCCGCCACACUGGGACUGAGACACGGCCCAGACUCCUACGGGAGGCAGCAGUGGGGAAUAUUGGACAAUGGGGGGAACCCUGAUCCAGCCAUGCCGCGUGUGUGAAGAAGGCCUUAUGGUUGUAAAGCACUUUAAGCGAGGAGGAGGCUACUUUAGUUAAUACCUAGAGAUAGUGGACGUUACUCGCAGAAUAAGCACCGGCUAACUCUGUGCCAGCCGCCGCCGUAA